rnacentral:rRNA from 1 species
UACGGAGGGUGCAAGCGUUAUCCGGAUUCACUGGGUUUAAAGGGUGCGUAGGAGGGCAGGUAAGUCAGUGGUGAAAUCUCCAAGCUUAACUUGGAACUGCCGUUGAUACUAUCUGUCUUGAAUACCGUGGAGGUGAGCGGAAUAUGUCAUGUAGCGGUGAAAUGCUUAGAUAUGACAUAGAACACCAAUUGCGAAGGCAGCUCGUUACACGAAUAUUGACACUCAGGCACGAAAGCGUGGGGAUCAAACAGGA